rnacentral:lncRNA from 1 species
CUUGUUUUGUUUUUGUAAAUAUAUGUGUCUUGUCUCUUGGAUUUGUGUUCUGAAAAUAGAGAAAAGAAAAAGAGACAAGAUGAGAAAAGAAAAAAAAAAUAUACAGAAAAAUGAGAAAAAAAAUUGUGAAUAAAGGAGUCAAGAAGAGGAUUGAAUUAGAGGUUUUGGGUGUGUUUGAAUGUGUUUACACUUGUUCCCCAUUACUCCUCUAUUCCCUUUGGUUUGUAACUUCUCAUCCAUAUCAUAUCCUCCCUUGUCCUUG